CAAUGGACGCAAGUCUGAACCAGCCAUGCCGCGUGAAGGAUGAAGGUCCUCUGGAUUGUAAACUUCUUUUAUCUGGGACGAAAACGGGAUUUUUAUCUCAAUUGACGGUACCAGAGGAAUAAGCACCGGCCAACUCCGUGCCAGCAGCCGCGGUAAUACGGAGGGUGCGAGCGUUAUCCGGAUUUACUGGGUUUAAAGGGUGCGUAGGUGGGCUUAUAAGUCAGUGGUGAAAUCUCCGAGCUUAACUUGGAAACUGCCGUUGAUACUAUAGGUCUUGAAUUAUCUGGAGGUAAGCGGAAUAUGUCAUGGAGCGGUGAAAUGCUUAGAGAUGACAUAGAACACCAAUUGCGAAGGCAGCUUACUACAUAUAAAUUGACGCUGAGGCACGAAAGCGUGGGGAUCAAACA
rnacentral:rRNA from 1 species